ACGACUGCUAAGACUGGAUAGGAAGAUAAAAGGCAUCUUGUAUCUUUUAAAAGACCUAGUUAAUAGGUAUGCUUUAGGAGGGGCUUGCGCCAUAUUAGUUAGUUGGUAGGGUAAUGGCCUACCAAGACGAUGAUGUGUAGCUGGACUGAGAGGUUGAACAGCCACAUUGGGACUGAGACACGGCCCAAACUCCUACGGGAGGCAGCAGUAGGGAAUUUUCGGCAAUGGAGGAAACUCUGACCGAGCAACGCCGCGUGAAUGACGAAGUACUUCGGUAUGUAAAGCUCUUUUAUCGAGGAAGAAAAGCAAAUGGCGAACCAUUUGUUUGCCGGUACUUGAUGAAUAAGCCCCGGCUAAUUAUGUGCCAGCAGCCGCGGUAAGACAUAAGGGGCAAGUGUUAUCCGGAAUUAUUGGGCGUAAAGGGUGCGUAGGCGGUCUAGUAAGUCAGUGGUGUAAUGUCAACGCUUAACGUUGUCCGGCUAUUGAAACUGCUAAACUUGAGUUAGAUAGAGGCGAGUGGAAUUCCAUGUGUAGCGGUAAAAUGCGUAAAUAUAUGGAGGAACACCAGAGGCGUAGGCGGCUCGCUGGGUCUUAACUGACGCUGAGGCACGAAAGCGUGGGGAGCAAACAGGAUUAGAUACCCUGGUAGUCCACGCCGUAAACGAUGAGUACUAAGUGUCGGGUUAAACCGGUACUGAAGUUAACACAUUAAGUACUCCGCCUGAGUAGUACGUACGCAAGUAUGAAACUUAAAGGAAUUGACGGGACUCCGCACAAGCGGUGGAUCAUGUUGUUUAAUUCGAAGAUACCCGAAAAACCUUACCAGGUCUUGACAUGUUUUUGCAAAAUGAUAGUAAUAUCGUGGAGGUUACCAGAAACACAGGUGGUGCAUGGUUGUCGUCAGCUCGUGUCGUGAGAUGUUAGGUUAAGUCCUAAAACGAGCGAAACCCUUAUCGUUAGUUGCCAGCACGUUAUGGUGGGGACUUUAACGAGACUGCCAAUGAUAAAUUGGAGGAAGGUGAGGAUCACGUCAAAUCAGCAUGCCCCUUAUGACCUGGGCUACAAACGUGAUACAAUGGCUGUUACAAAGGGUAGCUGAAACGCAAGUUCUUGGCCAAUCCCCAAAAACAGUCCCAGUCCGGAUUGAAGUCUGCAACUCGACUUCAUGAAGUUGGAAUCGCUAGUAAUCGCGAAUCAGCAUGUCGCGGUGAAUACGUUCACGGGGUUUGUACACACCGCCCGUCA
rnacentral:rRNA from 1 species